rnacentral:tRNA from 1 species
GGAGACGUGACCGAGUGGUCCAAGGUCGCUGUUUGGAAAACAGAUGGUCGGCGUCGAGCCGACUCACGAGUUCGAAUCUCGUCGUCUCCGCCA